rnacentral:ncRNA from 2 species
CUAUCUUUGUCCCGUCAAGGUGCCAGACCCCAAUUGCGGGGCGCGGCUGAAAAGGGAAUCCGGUUCAACGCCGGAGCUGUCCCCGCAACUGUACGCUCCACAACGGAGUGGGCCUCACAUGCCACUGUUCGCGCCUGGUUUUCAACCCGAAAACCGGCGCAGUGAAUGGGAAGGCGGCCCACUCGGCGGAGCAAGCCAGGAGACCUGCCCGGACAUUCACAGGUUC